rnacentral:rRNA from 1 species
UGAGGAAUAUUGGGCAAUGCCCGCAAGGGUGACCCAGCAACGCCGCGUGGAGGAUGAAGGUCGUAAGAUCGUAAACUCCUGUUAGAGGGGAAGAAUAGCUAAGUUUGGAGCUUAGUAUGACUGUACCCUCAGAGAAAGCCCCGGCUAACUACGUGCC